UAACGCGUAUAGAACUUACCUUUUACAGAGGGAUAGCCUUUAGAAAUGAAGAUUAAUACCUCAUAGUAUUGAAUUUUGGCAUCAAGAUUUAAUUAAAGAUUUAUCGGUAAAAGAUGGCUAUGCGUCCUAUUAGCUAGAUGGUGAGGUAACGGCUCACCAUGGCGACGAUAGGUAGGGGUCCUGAGAGGGAGAUCCCCCACACUGGUACUGAGACACGGACCAGACUCCUACGGGAGGCAGCAGUGAGGAAUAUUGGGCAAUGGAGGCAACUCUGACCCAGCCAUGCCGCGUGCAGGAAUAAGGUCCUAUGGAUUGUAAACUGCUUUUAUACAGGAAGAAACCCCCCGACGUGUCGGGGCUUGA
rnacentral:rRNA from 1 species